AUAAAUCACUUUUUGACAGGACAAAGGAAACCUUUUUUCGCGCCUGUUGAUCGUGGUGGUUUGGACGACCGAGAAUUCUUAGAUUCGGUUUCGAAUCUAGGCUUGGAGAAGGAAGUGUUCAUUUUUACACUUAUAUAUGAACAUGGUUU